rnacentral:rRNA from 1 species
GCUCUUAUGAAGUUAGCGGCGGACGGGUGAGUAACACGUGGGUAACCUACCCAUAAGACUGGGAUAACUCCGGGAAACCGGGGCUAAUACCGGAUAAUAUUUUGAACUGCAUAGUUCGAAAUUGAAAGGCGGCUUCGGCUGUCACUUAUGGAUGGACCCGCGUCGCAUUAGCUAGUUGGUGAGGUAACGGCUCACCAAGGCGACGAUGCGUAGCCGACCUGAGAGGGUGAUCGGCCACACUGGGACUGAGACACGGCCCAGACUCCUACGGGAGGCAGCAGUAGGGAAUCUUCCGCAAUGGACGAAAGUCUGACGGAGCAACGCCGCGUGAGUGAUGAAGGCUUUCGGGUCGUAAAACUCUGUUGUUAGGGAAGAACAAGUGCUAGUUGAAUAAGCUGGCACCUUGACGGUACCUAACCAGAAAGCCACGGCUAACUACGUGCCAGCAGCCGCGGUAAUACGUAGGUGGCAAGCGUUAUCCGGAAUUAUUGGGCGUAAAGCGCGCGCAGGUGGUUUCUUAAGUCUGAUGUGAAAGCCCACGGCUCAACCGUGGAGGGUCAUUGGAAACUGGGAGACUUGAGUGCAGAAGAGGAAAGUGGAAUUCCAUGUGUAGCGGUGAAAUGCGUAGAGAUAUGGAGGAACACCAGUGGCGA